GUUGGCACCCAGACCACGUCAGCUAAUCAAAGUGGUCUGGGUACAGUGUCCCUUUUGCACUUAGUGCCGCAGUACAGCUCUAAGUCUGCUCUCAGUGGUUGUCCACUGGGGGGGUGCUUCCGGAAUCCAAAUGGAUCUUUGGUCCGAUAUCUAAUGCUGGACUUCCUCACGCUCUGCAUUAGGACCUCCAGCGUCAGAUGUUUCCCCAUAGAAAAGCACUGAAUAAUGCUUUCCUGUGGGGAGGUCUAAUGCGUGUGUGGCUAUUGCCGUGCAUGCGAAUUAGGUCUCCCCCGCCAGCUGACGUUAUCCGGGAAGGAGCUGGGCAAAGCCUGACACAGCGCCAAGGGUUUUAACCUCUUCAGCCCUGCGGGAGG